UUUCGUUGCAUUUUCCUUCGAUUUGCAUUGAACAGCAUCAGCAUAUUCCCUCAAUGGAUAUAUUCCGUGCCGCUGUGAACAUGGCUCAACGUGGUGGCAUCAGCCUAUUCCGUGCCGCCGCGAACAUGUCUCGUCGUGUAAUGGUUGCUGAAGUUGGAAAUGUCGUGGGGCGCGGCUGUGUGCGUGCUGUAUUUGGUCCUCCACCCUAAUAGUCUUAGCAGCGAUGCAUGCAAUUGGAUGAUUAAAGACUAAUCUUUAUCAAGAUGUAGCAUGAUACAAUUAACCAUGCCCCUCCUCCUGAAGUUCCUGCUCAUAGUGGCCAUAGUGGCCAUGGUCCUAGGAACAUUACCUUAACAUUUACCCUAGCAGAACUAGCACAAAUUGCACUGAUUAUAGCAGUUGGACAUGUCGUGGGGCGCGGUUGUGUGCAUGCUGUAUUUGGUCCUCCACCUAAUCGACAUAAGACAGUAGCUACUGGACCACCUGCUGCUCCUGCCCUUGUACGAAGUUCCAAUAGUCUUGGCAGCAAUGCAUGCACUAUUACCCGCACUAUUAACUCAUCAAAGGCUUUCCAAGAUAUCUAUGCGCGCUUUAGAUGACCGUGCUCCACGAGAUAUCUAUCCUCACUUGCUAUCUAUCUUGAACUAGUUCGGGAAUUCUGAACCUGCAGGCUGUGACUAGCAUGAGAGUUAUUUGACUACGCCCUGAACUUCAAUAUUCAGAGGAUCUCCGCGUUGCUAGUGGGUCAGCGGAAAAAGUAGAAGUGUUUUGCUUUGUAACUAAAGUUUGUAAGGAGUUUCUAUGGUUGAAGAAUUUUCUUCAUAUUUACCUCGUAGGUGAUGAUAUUUAUUUGUUGACAAAGCCGUCUUCGAGGACAAAGCUCAAGAGUUGCAUCAUGAUUUUUAUGAUGACAAGAUUUAACCCCGCUUAAUGAGUGAGGGGGAGAUGGAUUGGGUUAUCCCUCCUAAAUGGGGCCCAACUUAUUUUAU